rnacentral:lncRNA from 1 species
UUUGUUCUGUGACUUUAAAGUCAUUGCAGUAUUUUAUGUAAAUAAUAAGUCUACAGCACAGCUAAAGAGGGAGCAGCCACCUUACCUCCAUGUUUGGACAAGCAUGAAGAUAAGAACUUCCCUGUGUGCGUGAUGGAAAAAAAUGAUAGAAGGGGCCAAAUUCCCAUCACUAAUACUUGUUGAUAUGUGAGGAAAAAUAAAAUGCUAUUACAAAGUU